rnacentral:tRNA from 1 species
GGGGUUGUAGCUCAGUGGUAGAGUUCUCAUCUAGCAUGUGUGAGGCCCUGGAUUCAAUCUUCAGCACCA